AGAAGGUUCCUUCCCUAGCAAAGGUAUGUUUGAUUCUUGGAAUUGUUUUCUUCACACUUAUUCUAUCAUAACAUCCAACUAAUAAAUGGAACUUUCAAAUGUCUUUGAUAGAUUAAUUAUAUAGAUUAUGUAUAUUGUAAAUUGCAUAUCUUUUUUUAGUGACAUACAAUUUUAUGUUAAAUGUGAUAUAUUCAAAUAAAAUAUUAAGAUAAAUAAAAUAUGAAUCAUAAUUUUAUUAAAUAGUGAAGCAAUAGAAAUUAAUAUUAAAAUUUAUAAUUUUUUUAUUGUUAUAAAAUCUCAAUUUGUUACAAUUUAAUCACUAAAACAAGCUUAGGGUGCGGUUACUGUUGUUAGCUGGCAUACAUAUAUACCAUAAAGUUGUAAAAACAAUUCAGUUACAAUUUCUUUCCUUAGUCACAUGAAAAUAAUUUUCUUGUAGGUAGUUAAUCUAAUUUAAUUCCAGCUACUUGAAAUUAAA
rnacentral:misc_RNA from 1 species